rnacentral:rRNA from 1 species
UCCGUAGGUGGCAAGCGUUGUCCGGAUUCACUGGGUGUAAAGGGUGCGCAGGCGGAUUGGCAAGUCAGAGGUGAAAUCUCACGGCUUAACCGUGAAACUGCCUUUGAUACUGCUAAUCUUGAGUUAGGGAGAGGUUGAUGGAAUUCCAGGUGUAGCGGUGAAAUGCGUAGAUAUCUGGAAGAACACCAGUGGCGAAGGCGGUCAACUGGCCCUUAACUGACGCUCAUGCACGAAAGCGUGGGUAGCGAACAGG